rnacentral:lncRNA from 1 species
CAAGAGGAAAGUUCCCAAGAUUAGGGCUUUCUGGCCCUUUCUGCAUGGCUAAGAUUUCAUUGUUUGGUAGCUGCCCCCACCCUUACCCCAGCUCCCAAAUCCUCUGGCUGCCAAUCCCAGUUAGAAGAAGUCUCUGUAAGUCACAGGUAUCAUCCCCCUGGUCAGCUGUUGGGGUAGUCAGGGGUGGGGAUUUGUCUAGAACUAAGCAAGUAUGCCGGGUGGAAUGGCUCCCCUGCCUAGAUGAGAAGGGGAGAGAACCCCUGAGAUGAACCCCUGAUUCUCUCAGCGAUGGGCCCUGAGAGAAGCCAGGAGAGACAGGAAAUUGAGGUGGGGGUGCAAAUGCAAGCGCAAGUGGUUCUGAGGCAUCCAGCUCAGCAGAACCGGGGCAGCCCAGGCCUUGGACCUUGGCUGGAGGGUAGGGACAGAGGAGAAGAUCCUCCAAACCCUCAUUUGUAAAAUGAGCAUCAUAAUCCCUACCUCCAUUGGAGCUGCUAUGAAGACUCUUGGGCACACGGGAAACACUCAGUGGGGUUAAUUUUUCUUCUCCUUUUCCCUUAGAUAUGGGGCAGAGAUGAAGGAGUUAAGCUUCUCCAGGUCACUUAAGAUAGCUGAGAUUUGGGGAAUGGGGACAGUGGUGAUAUUCAGAAUAUUUAACCACCUGUACAGGUUGGGCACCAACCAGUCAGAAUGACACCUGGCCCAAAUCAUCACCCAGGGAGGAGGGCACAGCUGAGCAGAACUUCUCCCUAUAUCUUUCUGCCCCAUCAUGAGUCCAUUUAUCAGCAAGCAUACAGACAUCCCUUGAGGGCAGCUCCUGAGGAGGUUGCAGGAUGCGGGAUCCUGAGAUCUUUGCAUUCAAGCAAGUCAGGCCUAGCAUGGGGCACCCUGCCUGACCUGGAAGAGGACCCGGAAGCAGAGGGCAGUGAGCUGAGGGCCUUCCCAGCUCCUGCCCCAAGCUGGCAGCAGACCUGCCACCAGGCUCUGGGGAAGAGCUGCUUCUGUGGGCUUUCGCCAUCCUCACGUCCCCUAGAGCUGCCCCCUCCUUCCUGUCCCUUCUUCUCAAAAGCACCAUGGGUCAGGAUUAGAGGGUCUGUUUGUUCUCUGAUCUAACUCCUCGUGCCUGUUUCUUCAUCAGCCUGGGGAAGUUCAUGGUUUCUGUUAUCUGACUGUGGAGUAUGGGAGUGUGGUGUUGGGGUAGUGUGGAGCCAUGUUCUAUCAUCAUGGAAAGAUUCUGGCCUCAAGGCAGGCAGCGUCUUCCCCCAGCCCCAGGCUUUCUGAGGCCACACCUGGACACGUGGUGCACUUAGCCAACACUGACUUAUUUUACCUGGCCUAUCUCUUUGCCUUGUUGGGUGAAAUUAAUGCCUUUGAGGGCCUAAGGUGGUCUGGUUAAGUGACAAGGGCAUAGGAAGACACAACCUUACCUAGCUGGAAGUCAGAGAUUUGGACUCUAGCCCACUUUCCCACUGAGUGGUCUUGGGCAAGCCACCUCCUUUACUGGAUCCAGAAAAGUAGCAUUGAGCCAGGUGUAGUGGCUCACACCUGUAAUCCCAGUAACUGGGGAGGCUGAAGUAGGAGGCUCUCUUGAGGCCAAGAGUUUGAGAACAGCCUGAGUUUGAGAACAGUGAGACCCUAUUCUUAAAAAAUGAAAAAAUUAGCCAAGUGUUCUGGCUACCUGGGAAGCUGAGGCAGGAGAAUCACUUGAGCCCAGUAGUUCCAAGGCUGCAGUGAUCAUACCACUGCAUUCUAGCCUGGAUGACAGAGCCAGAUCCUAUUUCUUAAAAAAGAAAGAGAAAGAGAAAAAAGAAAAGGAACAUUGAAUAAGAUGGUAUCUGAGGUCCCUUUUAGCCCUGCAUUUUUUCAUCUGGGAGUUCUUCCUGCCUUUUCUACUCUGUUACCUGCCAGUAACCCCUGCUCCCAGCCCCCUGGCUCACAGGAAACAUAGUUAGCUUUGUCCCGUUCAAGCUGGCCUGGGAUGCAAUGAGGCACCAUUACCUAGAGGCUACAAAAAUGAAAACCCAGCUCACUGCUGGCAAGGGAUGUGGGGCUGGGCAGUAACCUGUCCUGGAGCAAGACUUGGGCAGAGAGCAUGAGUCUCACCUAGGUGCACUCCCAGCCUCUAAUCUGGAUGCCUUUGUCCUUUGUUCUACUUCUGUUUGCUCUGCAUGGCAUUUGCCUUGGUGGCUCUGUUUGCUCAGGUGGCCCUCAAGGUGGGUUUGCAGUGCUCUCUUUGGGAUUUGUCCCAUUCCACUUCCUUAGGCCAG